UACGGAGGGGGCUAGCGUUGUUCGGAAUUACUGGGCGUAAAGCGCACGUAGGCGGCUUUGCAAGUUAGAGGUGAAAGCCCAGGGCUCAACCCUGGAAUUGCCUUUGAGACUGCGUAGCUAGGGUGCGGAAGAGGGAAGCGGAAUUUCCGGUGUAGCGGUGAAAUGCGUAGAUAUCGGAAGGAACACCAGUGGCGAAAGCGGCUUCCUGGUCCAGCACCGACGUUCAGGCACGAAAGCGUGGGGAGCAAACAGG
rnacentral:rRNA from 1 species